rnacentral:rRNA from 1 species
UACGAAGGGUGCAAGCGUUACUCGGAAUUACUGGGCGUAAAGCGUGCGUAGGUGGUUCGUUAAGUCUGAUGUGAAAGCCCUGGGCUCAACCUGGGAAUGGCAUUGGAUACUGGCGACCUAGAGUGCGGUAGAGGGGUGUGGAAUUCCCGGUGUAGCAGUGAAAUGCGUAGAUAUCGGGAGGAACAUCUGUGGCGAAGGCGACACCCUGGACCAGCACUGACACUGAGGCACGAAAGCGUGGGGAGCAAACAGGG